UAGGGAAUCUUCCGCAAUGGGCGAAAGCCUGACGGAGCAACGCCGCGUGAGUGAUGAAGGUCUUCGGAUCGUAAAACUCUGUUAUUAGGGAAGAACAAAUGUGUAAGUAACUAUGCACGUCUUGACGGUACCUAAUCAGAAAGCCACGGCUAACUACGUGCCAGCAGCCGCGGUAAUACGUAGGUGGCAAGCGUUAUCCGGAAUUAUUGGGCGUAAAGCGCGCGUAGGCGGUUUAUUAAGUCUGAUGUGAAAGCCCACGGCUCAACCGUGGAGGGUCAUUGGAAACUGGAAAACUUGAGUGCAGAAGAGGAAAGUGGAAUUCCAUGUGUAGCGGUGAAAUGCGCAGAGAUAUGGAGGAACACCAGUGGAGAAGGCGACUUACUGGUCUGUAACUGACGCUGAUGUGCGAAAGCGUGGGGAUCAAACAGG
rnacentral:rRNA from 1 species